CCUACGGGAGGCAGCAGUGGGGAAUAUUGCACAAUGGGCGCAAGCCUGAUGCAGCCAUGCCGCGUGUAUGAAGAAGGCCUUCGGGUUGUAAAGUACUUUCAGUGGGGAGGAAGGCAGUGAGGUUAAUAACUUCGCUGAUUGACGUUACCCGCAGAAGAAGCACCGGCUAACUCCGUGCCAGCAGCCGCGGUAAU
rnacentral:rRNA from 1 species